rnacentral:tRNA from 1 species
GUUCUCAUAGUUAAAAAUAACAGCAGAUCUUCAGUCUGCAGGUCUAGGUUAAAGUCCUUGUGGGAAUA